AGAGUUGAUUAUGGCUCAGGAUGAACGCUAGCUACAGGCUUAACACAUGCAAGUCGAGGGGCAGCAUGACGAUAGCUGCUAUGUGAUGGCGACCGGCGCACGGGUGAGUAACGCGUAUCCAACCUUCCCUAUAGUAGAGAAUAGCCCGGCGAAAGUCGGAUUAAUGCUCUAUGUUGUAUUUUGCGGACAUCUAACGAAUACCAAAGGUUUACCGCUAUAGGAUGGGGAUGCGUCUGAUUAGGUUGUUGGCGGGGUAACGGCCCACCAAGCCGUCGAUCAGUAGGGGUUCUGAGAGGAAGGUCCCCCACAUUGGAACUGAGACACGGUCCAAACUCCUACGGGAGGCAGCAGUGAGGAAUAUUGGUCAAUGGACGGAAGUCUGAACCAGCCAAAAGUAGCGUGCAGGAUGACGGCCCUAUGGGUUGUAAACUGCUUUUAUACAGGAUAAAGUCGGGGACGUGUUCCCGUUUGUAGGUACUGUAUGAAUAAGGACCGGCUAAUUCCGUGCCAGCCGCCGC
rnacentral:rRNA from 1 species